CCUCGGGACGCUGCAGUGGGGAAUAUUGCACAAUGGAGGAAACUCUGAUGCAGCAACGCCGCGUGGAGGAUGACACUUUUCGGAGCGUAAACUCCUUUUAUAUAGGAAGAAGAUGACGGUACUAUAUGAAUAAGCGCCGGCUAACUCCGUGCCAGCAGCCGCGGUAAUACGGAGGGCGCAAGCGUUACUCGGAAUCACUGGGCGUAAAGAGCGUGUAGGCGGAUUAAAAAGUCAGAAGUGAAAUCCUAUAGCUUAACUAUAGAACUGCUUCUGAAACUCUUAAUCUAGAAUAUGGGAGAGGUAGAUGGAAUUUCUGGUGUAGGGGUAAAAUCCGUAGAGAUCAGAAGGAAUACCGAUUGCGAAGGCGAUCUACUAGAACAUUAUUGACGCUGAGACGCGAAAGCGUGGGGAGCAAACAGGAUUAGAUACCCCGGUAGUC
rnacentral:rRNA from 1 species